rnacentral:rRNA from 1 species
UGGGGAAUUUUGGACAAUGGGCGCAAGCCUGAUCCAGCAAUGCCGCGUGCAGGAUGAAGGCCUUCGGGUUGUAAACUGCUUUUGUACGGAGCGAAAAGGUCUGCCCUAAUACGGUGGGCUCAUGACGGUACCGUAAGAAUAAGCACCGGCUAACUACGUGCCAGCAGCCGCGGUAAUACGUAGGGUGCGAGCGUUAAUCGGAAUUACUGGGCGUAAAGCGUGCGCAGGCGGUUAUAUAAGACAGGUGUGAAAUCCCCGGGCUCAACCUGGGGCCUGCAUUUGUGACUGUAUAGCUAGAGUACGGUAGAGGGGGAUGGAAUUCCGCGUGUAGCAGUGAAAUGCGUAGAUAUGCGGAGGAACACCGAUGGCGAAGGCAAUCCCCUGGACCUGUACUGACGCUCAUGCACGAAAGCGUGGGGAGCAAACA